rnacentral:rRNA from 1 species
UACGUAGGUGGCAAGCGUUAUCCGGAAUUAUUGGGCGUAAAGAGCGCGCAGGCGGCUGGUCAAGUCCGAUGUGAAAGCUCCCGGCUUAACUGGGAAAUUGCAUCGGAAACUGAUCGGCUGGAAGGUGGGAGAGGGUAGCGGAAUUCCCGGUGUAGUGGUGAAAUGCGUAGAUAUCGGGAGGAACACCAGUGGCGAAAGCGGCUACCUGGCCCAUUCUUGACGCUGAGGCGCGAAAGCUAGGGGAGCAAACGGG